rnacentral:rRNA from 1 species
GACGAACGCUGGCGGCGUGCUUAACACAUGCAAGUCGAACGGAAAGGCCCUGCUUUUGUGGGGUGCUCGAGUGGCGAACGGGUGAGUAACACGUGAGUAACCUGCCCUUGACUUUGGGAUAACUUCAGGAAACUGGGGCUAAUACCGGAUAGGAGCUCCUGCUGCAUGGGGGGGGUUGGAAAGUUUCGGCGUUUGUGUAUGGACUCGCUGCUUAUCAGCUUGUUAGUUGGGUAGUGGCUUCCCACGGCUAAGACGGGUAGCCGGCCUGAGAGGGUGACCGGCGACAAUGGGACUGAGAUAGGGACCAGAAUCCUACGGGAGGCAGCAGUGGGAAAUAUUACAGAAUGGGCGGAAGCCUGAUGCAGCAGCGCUGCGUUCGGAAUAACGUCCUUCGGGUUGUGAACCGCUUUCUCCUGUGCCGAAGAGUGAGUGACGGUAAUGAGUCAAGAAGCACCGGCUAACUACGUG